rnacentral:rRNA from 1 species
UGGGGAAUCUUGCGCAAUGGGCGAAAGCCUGACGCAGCGACGCCGCGUGAGCGAUGAAGGCCCUCGGGUUGUAAAGCUCUGUGGAGAGGGACGAAUAAGUACUGGUUAAUACCCAGUGCGAUGACGGUACCUCUUUAGCAAGCACCGGCUAACUCUGUGCCAGCAGCCGCGGUAAGACAGAGGGUGCAAACGUUGUUCGGAAUUACUGGGCGUAAAGCGCGUGUAGGCGGCCUUACAAGUCGGAUGUGAAAGCCCUGGGCUCAACCUAGGAAGUGCAUUCGAAACUGUGAGGCUCGAGUCCUGGAGAGGAAAGCGGAAUUCUGGGUGUAGAGGUGAAAUUCGUAGAUAUCCAGAGGAACACCUGUGGCGAAGGCGGCUUUCUGGACAGGUACUGACGCUGAGACGCGAAAGCGUGGGGAGCAAACAGGAUUAGAUACCCCCGUAGUCC